rnacentral:tRNA from 1 species
GCGUGUGUAGUUCAGUGGUAGAACGCGUUCCUGAUAAGAACGAGGUCGAAGGUUCGAUUCCUUCCACACGCACCA